AGUUGGCCACUUAACAUGUUCUAUGUCCUUUGCUACUUACCUAAUAUUGUUAUUUCAUGCGUGGUCAUUGUAAUGUUGCCAAGCAAAUCCUAUCUCCAAUAAUUAAUCGUUUUAGCAUGAGUGAUUCUUGUAAGUUGUUCCUCUCAAGCAUUUGAGAAUGGAAGUUGGAAAUGGAUGAUUUGCACCUAUCUGAAGCUAUUCUGAGCAGUUUGAGCAGUUUCAGCGCUUUGGGAAUCUGAUGAAAUUCUCUUCGUUUCUGAUUUGUUUUGAGAUUGAAAAAUUUGAUCUUUUCAGGUUCUGUGGUGGCUACGUUCAUCUGCCCUUUGGAUGUCAUCAAGACCAGGUUACAGGUCCACGACAUGCUUACCGGUCAAAGAGAGGAUGGUGGCAAACUCUCAAUUGGUGAAAAUAUGAUAGAUGCUGCUGGGACUGCCACAGCCAUUUCAACAAAUCCAUUGUGGGUUGUUAAGACAAGACUGCAACAAUAGAAAAUGCUUCGUUGUGUUGCAGUCUCACUGAAGAACCUAAACCAGGCCUUUAACUGGAAAUGGGUGGGAUUUCAGAGGUCAAAGUUAAUCCAAUAUCAGUCUAAGAUGGAUGCA